UACGUAGGGUGCGAGCGUUGUCCGGAAUUAUUGGGCGUAAAGAGCUCGUAGGCGGUGUGUCGCGUCUGCCGUGAAAGUCCGGGGCUCAACUCCGGAUCUGCGGUGGGUACGGGCAGACUAGAGUGAUGUAGGGGAGACUGGAAUUCCUGGUGUAGCGGUGAAAUGCGCAGAUAUCAGGAGGAACACCGAUGGCGAAGGCAGGUCUCUGGGCAUUAACUGACGCUGAGGAGCGAAAGCAUGGGGAGCGAACAGG
rnacentral:rRNA from 1 species